ensembl:lncRNA
CCAGUUCCUGCCUGGACUGCUGCUGCCUGCUUUGGGAGCGGUCCUGGGGGUUAAUGCUUCACUGGACCGUGGCCUCUUUUUGCAGCAGCUCCAGAACGCUCUCAUCCCACUGACCCUGCCUAUCCUAGGCAGGCAGGUUGUGCCAGCAUCCCAGAAACUGCAGAUAAAUUCCAUGUUAGAGGAGCACACUUGACCAGCUAACAGCUCAGAGCAGAUGGCCUUCCGGAGACACGCUGGGCGAGUGGAAAAUGUAAUGAAAUUCCCAGAGCCUCCUGGUGCACUACCAAGAGCCGUAUGUCUCCGAAGGAAGGCCCAGCUCUGCCAUUUGAACAAUCCUCCUCCAUCUGCUGCUCCUGCUCCUGGAGCUGUGUGGAGUGGCAGCGCGGUGACGCCGGGCCUGCAGACACUGCCUCGGUCCCUCUGGCACUGCUGUGCUUCCAGGGAGCCAGGCUGGAUCCACAAGAAGAUGUGUCUAUUCUUGCACCUCUGUUUUGAACAAAAGGUGGAUGUUUCAGAAGCUGUUCAACUUAUUUACUGGCUGCACUCUUAAAUCCAAACUAAUCUGUACAUUACAAACCCUGAACUCCAGCACUUCUGAGAGCUGAGAACUGCUGUUUCCAUUUGUGCUAAACUUCUGGACAUGGAAAUCAGAAAUUGACAUUCACUUUUUGGGAACGGUCAUGGAGGAUCCAUCUUUUCCCAUCCCAUGGCAUGGUCACCACCCUCCCCAAUGGGAGUUUCUGUCAUCAUUCCUGGCAUCCCAUUCCCAACCUUUUGUGGGGCUACCUUUUUGUGUUCAGCUAAUGACACCAUUCUAAAAUACACAGAACCCCUCUGAUCUCUGUUUUUCAGAGACAGCACCCUUGGUUCUGGUGUCCUGAUUAGAGAUGUGCCCUUUGCAGUGAUUUGGAGCUGUGAAAUGGCUCCUGUCGCUCCACUCUGAGCCUGUGGGUAUCUCACAGGAUAAAUCUGGAAGAGCUGUAGAGCGCAGAUGAUUUUUGGCAAGUAUCAUUUUAUCAUCAAAAUUUUAUUUUUGGGUCGCUCUUCAGCUGCCGCCUUCUGUGAAGGAGAACGACGCCCAUUUGAUGGCUUUUAUUCUGGAUUCCCGAGCAGUCUCCUCUGCUUAGAGCACAAUUAAUGGCAGCUCUGGCUGAGAUAAUGGGAGGUGGGGAUGGAUGCAUGGAGCUGGAACUGAGGUGGACUGUCACCUUUGUCUGAACGUGGAGACACAGCUCAUGUCCUCAGAGCUGGGAGAGUCACAGCAAGCCAGGCAGAAAAUAUAUUUUAUUUGAAAUAAAUUGUAAUUAUUAUUUUUAAAUUAUUUUAAA